UACGUAGGUGGCAAGCGUUAUCCGGAUUUAUUGGGCGUAAAGCGAGCGCAGGCGGUUUUUUAAGUCUGAUGUGAAAGGCAGUGGCUCAACCAUUGUAUGCAUUGGAAACUGGUAGACUUGAGUGCAGGAGAGGAGAGUGGAAUUCCAUGUGUAGCGGUGAAAUGCGUAGAUAUAUGGAGGAACACCGGUGGCGAAAGCGGCUCUCUGGCCUGUAACUGACACUGAGGCUCGAAAGCGUGGGGAGCAAACAGG
rnacentral:rRNA from 1 species